GCGUGCCCGUGCAUCGUGGCCUCUGCCCGAACUGACCCUGGCGUACUUCCCCAACGCCAGGUUCGUACCUUCGGACAGAGACCUGGGUGCAGGGGCGGCCCUCC
rfam:Mycobacterium sp. E796 contig_120, whole genome shotgun sequence.